ensembl:lncRNA
GAAUCAUGUGUAAGAAUCACAUUUGGAAAUAAACGAAUCAUGUAUAAGAGUCACACAUUGGAAAUGAGCAAAUCAUGUAUAAGAGUCACAUUUGGAAAUAAGCAAAUCAUGUAUAAGAGUCACAUUUGGAAAUAAACGAAUCGUGCAAGAAUCACAUACGGAACUAAACGAAUCAUGUAUAAGAGUCAUGUGGAAAUAAACGAAUCAUGUGCAAGAAUCACAUUUGGAAAUAAACGAAUCAUGUAUAAGAGUCAUGUGGAAAUAAAAGAAUCAUGUAUAAGAAUCAUGUGGAAAUAACUGAGUCAUGUGCAAGAAUCACAUUUGGAAAUGAAGGAAUCAUGUAUAAGAAUGACAUGCGGAAACAACUGAACCAUGUAUAAUUACAUUCCAGCUUGUUCAAGAACUUCCGCUAUGUCAGCGUUACACGCUUUAUCAGACUCGACAUCGAAAGUGAAGGGGACAGCAGGAAAUAAAAAGCACAGACAGAAAUAAAAAAAAGCUUUAACGAGCUGAUGCAUGGGUGGAAAGGAGGAAGUGAAAUAAAAUGAAAAGGAAGUGAGUACAUUUGUGGUCUACUCAGAUCACGCAAGUGCACGGGGUGAAGAAUGUUCAAAAUAAUUUAUUUAAAAAAAUAAAUACAUAAAUAAAAGCUGAGGUGGUUUCUCGGAUGAACGGCCUCCGAAACGAUAACGCAAGGAAAAGUACUACAGAGAAAAGCCAAGGCAAAGAAACCCAGCGGAAGCAGAAGCGCUCGUUUUAUUAUUCUUUACAGCCUGGACAGUCUGCUUUUAGAGAAUCAUUCGUAUACCGAUUGUUUGAACCCGGGGAAAAAAGUACAAUUUUAGAAGAACAAUCGCGGGGUUCAAAACUAAAAGUGUAAACUCCUAACAAAAUCAAAAUGAUAAUUUAUAUAUAGCACACAUCAUAGUCACAAAAUCAACCUCCCUCAAAGCUCCUCAAGUCGACCUGACGGCGAAUAAUAACCAGAAAAACUCCAAUAUAUGUUACUGUAUUCAUGUGGUACUGUUAUUAUAGCUAAAGUUAGCCAUGACCUGCUCGGAUAAUCGCACACGGCUAGCAUUCCCAAGCGCAGAGCUAAAUUUACAGAAAGCCAUUAGCCGCUAGCGCACACCUGUCUCAAUCUGUAAUGCCUAGCAAACACGACGGAUCUCUUACUGCUAACAUCGGCACAUGCUAAUAUUACAGUAGGGCUUUUUGAUCCAGGGCUUCUAUAGCUACAGCCCAAAAAGCCCAUAAUGCUCUGAUAUAUGGCUCAGCAACCAUGCUAAUUCUGCUAGUCUACAAUGUGCUUGGGUACAGUGAUAUGUGGUUCGGGACGUAGCCCAUGAUAGUUUAACUGGAGCAGUUUGGAUUACUUGACUUCGGAAUAUUUCGACACAACACACAUUUAUGGAAAUAAUUGGAAAAUAAUUUGCAUUUGUUUAAUAAAUAUAUAUGUAAAAAAAGAGCUUAUAAUAUAAUUAAAGAAUACUGUAAUGAAGAGAAGGGAUUUUAUAACCAACACUUUUUUUUUUAAUCAGGUGAAGUACAGAAUUAAAAAAAAAUUAAAAUAAAUAAAUAAAUAGAUAAAUAAAAAGGUCCUAAAACGGAGCCUAGAGGAAUGCCGACUGCCUUUUCUACACAUCCGACAAUACAAAUUAUAUACAGUUUAACCAAUUACACUACAGGAGUGAAUUUCAUUUAACACAAAAAAAAAAUGUAAAGAAGAAAUGGAGCUGUUAUUAGAAUAGAAUUAAAUAAUCUGAAUUAAUUCGAAUGAUUUUUUUUUGGAUUGCAAAUAGAAGCUGUGGCAAACAAAGGCAAAGUGUAAGUGCAGAGAAUUUCCACUGCCUGACCUAUUUCGGACUAGUUUCAGGUGCGUUUGUGAGGCUGAUGCAGUUGGGAGGAGAUCUGGCAACCCUGUCCCGGAUCCCUCGGAGGGAUUUUAAAUGGGUCGCCUUUUCAUUUUAUCGGCGUCAGCCUCUUCGGCCUGUCGUCGCUCGUUUAGCCUUGGCUACAUCCCACAAUCGAUGGUACUCAACACCACAGAGAGGUGAAUUUGAGAUUAAGGCGUGGUGUCAGUACGAGGCAGAAGAUACACUUGGUGUCAGCAUCAAUGUAAACUUCAAACCGGGGCUGGUGGAAUAUGAGGAUAAUACGGAUAUCAUGAAUAUAGCUGUUUUUUAAGCAGUAUUUUCAUGGCCAUGGUCGGUGUUUGAUGUUGCUUUAAUGGAGAAAGUUGGCCUUAGUAAGCAUUUCUAUAAAGACUUAUUUUUUGGUGGUAUUUUCAUUGAGAAUGUUGGGGUGUGAAGGCGUUUUAAUGAAGAACGUUGGUAUUUAUAGGCCUUUUAGAAAGAAUCUUGCUUAUUAGUGGCAUUUUCAUGGCCAUUGUUGGCGUUUCAUUUGGCUUUCAUGGAGAAUUCGGGUGUUUGAAGGUGUUUUAAUGAAGAAAGCUAGUGUUAGUAGGUCUUUUGUGAAGAACAUUGAUUUUUUUUCUUUCUUUUUCCCAUUGGCGUUAUUGGUGUACGAUGGUCUCAGUGGAGAAUAUUGGUGUAUGAAGGUGAUCUAACGGAGAAGGCCGGUGUUUAUUGGCGUCUUUAAAGAUGGUGACGGUGUUAAUGGAGAACGUCGGUGUUUGAAGGUGUUUUCGUGAAAAACAGCUGUUUCCUCGGCAUUUGUUGGUGAAAGUCCGUGUUAAAGAAGCUGGUUUUCUGAUGGUGGGUCUUACCAGGACUUUUACUUUUAAAUACUCGAGUACUAUUAUUUUUAUACUACCGGUCAUCCUCCCACUUAAUUGUGAUGAACAUUUUAACUGUGAAGCCACGUGGUGAAGAGUCGUGUAGUUAAAACGCUGCUCAGUAAGAACAGCUUAGAGCCAAAAGGGCAUUCAUUUCUGAAACACAAUCAUCAUCAUAAACACCAUUAUCCUAAUAAAUGUAAGUCUGCCGGAGUUUGAGCCGAAAACAAACAUCAGCUUCCGAGAGUAAUAGCUGGUAGGAGGCAGGAGAACAGAACGACUUUGUAAUUUGUAGGAAGUUGGCGUCGUUAGCGUGCUCGUCGUGUUCAGGCUGCUGAUUUUUACUGCCCUGCUGAGGACCACUCGCAGACAAUAAUUACCAAAUACUGCAGAGCGCUCCACAGCUCUGAAAAUAAGAUCACCCUGGUUCUUAUUUUUUUCAUUUUGCCUUUACAGCCCAUUAACUCCACACUCACACACUAAUUAGGAAGCCAUCACUACCAUUUUCACACUCGCUAGAAUUAAUCAGGAUCGAAACACUGCCCCGGUCCGAAAAAACGAACAAGUAAAUAAACAAACUUCUGAAGCAUAUAACGGGGGGGGCGGGGGGUUUAGAUGUGUGAAGUGUCUGAGCCACGGGAUGUGCCCUGAACAUGGAGGCUCCUGCUGUAGCUCGCUAUUCCUAACAAGAGGAAGAUAUGGAGUGAGUGAGAGUGACGUGCUCCAUUACAGACCCUCAACUCCGGCGUCUGGAUGAUGAUCACAGACUCCUCGGACUAAAGCAUUACUGUAUUUAUAUAUUAAAAAUAAUAAUUUCUUGAUGAGAGCCGGUGAUUUUCUCUCUGUAGAUCAUGAUCUAUUCAGUGGGUUCUCCUCGUCUAAACUUUGCCUAACAAUACAGAGCUAAAUACGAUUCGGUUAUUUUCAUAUUACUUUAAAAAAAAAAAAAAAAAACCCUAGGUACGGAUAAUGAGAUUUAUUAGCUUGUUUUUUUUAAAAAAAAAAAAAAAAAAAAAAAAAAAAAAAACCACAUAAGAAACAGCACAUCUCUUUCAUUAUAUUUUAUUUGAAGCUGGUCAUAUCAACGUGUCGCAGGACGGACUUUCCCCUUUAAAUUAAAUUCACAAUUUAUUCAGAACUCAUGCAAGGUAUUAAAAAAAUAAUAUCCUACACAUUCUCACAAAGCUUCAUGGGAAAAAAAAAAAAAAAAAAACCCCCGUGAGGAAGCGAGAAACGUCUGACGCCUCAGUCAGAAUCAGUGUGUUUACCCUUUAAGCCUAAUUCUCUGGAAACCCUGUAUAAUCCACACACUGACUUACAGUACAGAAGUGAACAUCUGACCAUAAAGCACAGGCGUGUGAAUGACGGCGUUCUGCUGGACAGCGGUGGUGUUUGAAGGGAAAACGGUGGUGAUAGCUGGCUUUUUAUAAAGAAGGGUUUUGUUUUUUAUUGGUGGCAUUUUCAUAGAAAACUGUAGAAGGUAUAUAGAGGUGUAGAAGGUGUAUAAAGAUGGAGAAGGUGUAUAGAGGAGAAGGUGUACAGAGGUGUAGAAGGGGUACAGAGGUGUAGAAGGGGUACAGAGGUGUAGAAGGUGUAUAAAGAUGGAGAAGGUGUAUAGAGGAGAAGGUGUACAGAGGUGUAGAAGGGGUACAGAGGUGUAGAAGGUGUAUAAAGAUGGAGAAGGUGUAUAGAGGAGGAGGUGUAUAGAGGUGGAGAAGGUAUAGACCAUGUAGAAGGUGUUUUGAUGGAGAAUGUUGCUGCUUGACGGUACAUGUCGGGGUAUUAUAGUGUUCUAAUGAAGAACAUUGGUUUUUCAUGAGGUUUUCAUGCUUGUUUUUGGUGAUCGAGGGUAUUUUAGUGGGUGUUUUAGAGGAAAAUGUCGGUGUUGGCCGUUUUUUAAAGAAUCUUAGUUUUAUCGUGUCAUUUUCCUGGAGAAUGCUGGUGCUUAAAGGCUUUUUAAAUGAAAACGCUGCUGCUAGUACGCCGUUUGUAAUGAUUUUGGUGAUAUUUUCAUUGGGGGCGUUGGUGUUUCCUGAACUUUCAUACCGAAUGUUGCCGUUUCGUAGUAUUUUCACGGCCGUUGUUGGUGUCUGAUGUUGGUUUAAUGGAGAAAGUCGGUGUUAAUAUGCCUUUUAUAAGAAUGUGGGUUUUUGGUGGUAUUUCCAUGGCGAUUGUUGGUGUUUUAAUGAAAGCGCUGGUGUUACUGAGUCUUUCUAUAAAGAAUGUUGAUCUCUGGUGACAUCUUCAGGGAGAACGUUGGCGUGUCGUUAUGUUUUAAUGGAGAAUGUCGGUAUUUGAAGGUGCUUUAAUGAAAAACGUCAGUGCGAGUAGGUCUUUUUCGUAAAUUGUAUUGUAUUUUCAUUGGAAUCGUUGGUGUAUCGAUGGCCUUCAGUGGAGAACGUUGGGGCUUGAAGCGAUUUUAACGAAGAAUGUUGUAGCUUUCAGAAAGAAUUAUGGUUUGUGGUGGUAUUUUGAAGGACGACGCAGGUGUCUGUCGGCCAUUUUAACUGUAAACGUUGGCGUUUGAUAUAGUUUUACUGGAGACUGUUGGUGUUUGAAGGUGUGCAGAUGAAAAAAACGUAGCUGGGCUUUGUUAAAGGAUUGGUCAGCGCCGGGUUUUAAAACGCGACCGAGAUUUCAGACCGUGAAACUACGGAAGUCAGUUUGACCUCAGAGUAUUUUUAUUUAGCUUUAACGUGCGCAGAGAUCCCAGUUUCCAAAAACGCUAAUCUGAUUGGAGAGUGUGAGAACAGCAGAGUUUCCGGCAACUAGCUUCUCCAACCGGCAAACGUCUGAGAAGACGACCUAGAACAAAAUAAAAUUAACAAAACAAAAGAAAUAUAAAUUUUCGCUUCUCCACGCAUGCAUUACUCUAUGACUCUAAAGACAUCAAGAGUCGACACAUGAGAAUCCCCGAGGAAUCUAGCCACAAGUAAAUGCUAUAAAUUAGCACAAAGCCC